AUGGUGUUGCCUGAGAAACCAGAGUUUAUUGUGGUACCUGAGGAACCCGAGCCUGAUGUAGAGCCCCAAAAACUAAAAUAUGGCAUGAUGCCCCCAAAACAGAAGCCCAUUGUGGAAUCCCAAAAACUAGCUCAGGUUGUAGUGCUUGAGAAACAAGAAUUUGUUGUAGUACCUGAGGAACUCAAGCCUGAUGUUGAACCCCAAAAACUAAAAUAUGGUGUGAUGCCCCCAGAACAGAAGCCCAUUUUGGAAUUCCAAAAAGUAGCACAUGUGGAAGUGCUUGAAAAACAAGAGUUUGUUGUGGUACCUGAAGAACCCAUGCCUGAUGUAGAACCCCAAAAACUAAAAUAUGGCGUGAUGCCCCCAAAACAGAAGCCUGUUGUAGAAUCCCAAAAAACAAAGCGUGUUAUAGUGCCUGAGAAAUCAGAGUCUGUUGUGGUACCUGAAGAACCCAAGCCUGAUGUAGAGCCCCAAAAACUAAAACAUGGUGUGACGCCCCCAAAACAGAAGCUCAUUGUGGAAUCCCAAAAACUAGCACAUGUGGUAGCGCUGGAGGAACCAGAGUUUGUUCUGGUACCUGAAGAACCCAUGCCUGAUGUUGAACCCCAAAAACUAAAAUAUGGCGUGAUGACCCCAAAACAGAAGCCCAUUUUGGAAUUCCAAAAAGUAGCACAUGUGGAAGUGCUUGAAAAACAAGAGUUUGUUGUGGUACCUGAGGAACUCAAGCCUGAUGUUGAACCCCAAAAACUAAAAUAUGGCGUGAUGACCCCAAAACAGAAGCCCAUUUUGGAAUUCCAAAAAGUAGCACAUGUGGAAGUGCUUGAAAAACAAGAGUUUGUUGCGGUACCUGAGGAACUCAAGCCUGAUGUUGAACCCCAAAAACUAAAAUAUGGCGUGAUGACCCCAAAACAGAAGCCCACUGUGGAAUCCCAAAAACUAGCCCAGGUUGUAGUGCUUGAGAAACAAGAAUUUGUUGUGGUACCUGAGGAACCCAAGUCUGAUGUUCCACCCCAAAAACUAAAAUAUGGUGUGAAGCCCCCAGAACAAAAGCCAGUUCUAGAAUCCCAGAAACCAGAACCAUUUAUGGCCCCUGAGGAAUAUGAGCUCAUAGUAGUGUCUGAGGAGUCAGAGACAGUUGAAUCAACUCAAAAAUCAAAGCGUGUUGUGGUGCCCCCCAAAACAAAACAUUUUGUGCGGGCCCAAAAAACAGAUUUUGUGGCAGCUGAAGAAACAGACUUUGCUGCAGAUUUCCAGAAGUCAAGGCCUACUGCGGUGUCCAGAAAAUCAAAGCCUUUUGUGCCAGAACCUGUCAUGGUGUCUGAGGAACCAGAAACUGUUUUAGAACCCCAAAACCUGGAGCCUUCUACACCUCUUCGAAAACCAAAGCCUGAAGUGACAUCCAAAGAACCAGAGCUGGUUUUGGCACCAGAGGAACCACCACCAGCAAAGGGGGCCGAAAAGGACCAGCAUGUUGCCGCUAAAAAGCGAGCAGCUGCACAGCCUAAAGGUAUCUCUUGUGCAUAG
rnacentral:lncRNA from 1 species